GACGAACGCUGGCGGCGUGCUUAACACAUGCAAGUCGAACGAUGAACCCGGAGCUUGCUCCGGUGGAUUAGUGGCGAACGGGUGAGUAACACGUGAGUAACCUGCCCUUGACUCUGGGAUAACUGCGGGAAACUGUAGCUAAUACCGGAUACGACCCUCGGCGGCAUCGCCAGGGGGUGGAAAGAAUUUCGGCCAAGGAUGGACUCGCGGCCUAUCAGCUAGUUGGUGAGGUAACGGCUCACCAAGGCGACGACGGGUAGCCGGCCUGAGAGGCGAGCCAGCGACACGGGGACAGAGAGACGGCCCAGAGGGCGACGGGAGGCAGCAGGGGGGAAGACUGGACAAUGGGAGCAAGCCUGAUGCAGCAGCGCCGCGUGAGGGAUGACGGCUUUCGGGUUGUAAACCUCUUUUAGUAGAAAAGAAGCGAAAGUGACGGUACCUGCAGAAAAAGCACCGGCUAACUACGUGCCAGCCGCCGCAGUAA
rnacentral:rRNA from 1 species